CAUUGCACUUGUCUCUGUCUGA
rnacentral:ncRNA from 2 species